rnacentral:rRNA from 1 species
GAGUUUGAUCCUGGCUCAGGAUGAACGCUGGCGGCGUGCCUAGUACAUGCAAGUCGAGCGAAUGGAUUAAGAGCUUGCCCUUAUGAAGUUAGCGGCGGACGGGUGAGUAACACGUGGGUAACCUACCUAUAAGACUGGGAUAACUCCGGGAAACCGGGGCUAAUACCGGAUAAUAUUUUGAACUGCAUAGUUCGAAAUUGAAAGGCGGCUUCGGCUGUCACUUAUGGAUGGACCCGCGUCGCAUUAGCUAGUUGGUGAGGUAACGGCUCACCAAGGCGACGAUGCGUAGCCGACCUGAGAGGGUGAUCGGCCACACUGGGACUGAGACACGGCCCAGACUCCUACGGGAGGCAGCAGUAGGGAAUCUUCCGCAAUGGACGAAAGUCUGACGGAGCAACGCCGCGUGAGUGAUGAAGGCUUUCGGGUCGUAAAACUCUGUUGUCAGAGAAGAACAAGUCGGAGAGUAACUGCUCCGGCCUUGACGGUAUCUGACCAGGAAGCCACGGCUAACUACGUGCCAGCAGCCGCGGUAAUACGUAGGUGGCAAGCGUUGUCCGGAUUUAUUGGGCGUAAAGCGAGCGCAGGCGGUUCCUUAAGUCUGAUGUGAAAGCCCACGGCUC